UCCGUAGGUGAACCUGCGGAAGGAUCAUUACCGAUUUUCAGCGGACCUGAUCUUUGAUCAUGGUCUCGCGAAAACUUGUAUUUAAAACCCCACUCUUAUAAAUUGAAUCAUUUUAUAUUAUGUAUGUAAUAAAUAAAGAUCACUUUCAACAACGGAUCUCUUGGCUCUCGCAUCGAUGAAGAACGUAGCGAAGUGCGAUAAGUAAUGUGAAUUGCAGAAUUCCGUGAAUCAUCGAAUCUUUGAACGCAAAUUGCACUCUCUGGUAACCCGGGGAGUAUGCCUGUUUGAGGGUCAGUGUUAAUAAAAAUCGGUGCGUUGCAAUUUUUGUGAUGUUCCGGGGUUUGAGUUAUCUUAUCUUCUGGGUUUAAGAGGCUUAAAAUUGACCUUCUUUGUGCAUUUUAGACGUACAUAAAUUUUUUUUAUUCGUUUAUCUUAAUGCCAAAAUCUAUUAGAUGCGACCAUAUCGUGUGGUUCCGUGUCUAUAAAUUUUUCAUGAUUUGACCUCAAAUCAGGUAGGAACACCCGCUGAACUUAAGCAUAUCAAUAAGCGGAGGA
rnacentral:rRNA from 1 species